rnacentral:other from 1 species
UAGGCUCUGCCCUGUACGUGAGGUGGUAUUUGUUUCGGGCCAACACAGUACCAAAUGGGAGCCUCGUGCUAAAGUGAAGGACACGGCGGGCCGUGGAGUUCACGGACGGGCACCCACCUGCUUUUCGCAGGUUCGAAACAAACCCAUCUCACGACAGCGGUGGAGCUUUA